rnacentral:rRNA from 1 species
GACAGGGGGGACAAGUGUUAGUUACCGUGACUGGGUGUAAAGGGUGCGUAGGUUGUUAUUUAAAUCAGACGUAAAAGACCAGACAAAAUUUUGGAAGCGCGUUUGAAAUUAUUUAACUUAGAGGUUGGAAGAGGAUAGAGGAAUUUUUAGUGUAGGGGUUAAAUCCGUCGAUAUUAAAAAGAACACCAAUGGCGAAGGCAUCUAUCUGGGACAAUACUGACACUGAGGCACGAAAGCGUGGGGAUCAAACCGG